rnacentral:rRNA from 1 species
UGGGAAUCAACCCUGAGGUUCGGAAUAACCGCGGGAAACUGCGGCUAAUACCGGAUGUCCCCUACGGGGGAAAGAUUUAUCGCCUUGGGACGAGCCCGCGUCCGAUUAGCUAGUUGGUGAGGUAAUGGCUCACCAAGGCUACAAUCGGUAGCUGGUCUGAGAGGAUGACCAGCCACACUGGAACUGAGAUACGGUCCAGACUCCUACGGGAGGCAG